ACCUCGUCUGCUGCGCAGGAGCUUGGCUGAAGAGGAAAUAAAGGCAGAGCAGGAGGUGGUGGAGGGGAUGGAUAUCUCCACUCGAUCCAAAGAUCCUGGCUCUGCUGAACGCACAGCACAAAAAAGGAAAUUUCCCAGCCCGCCACAUUCCUCUAAUGGCCAUUCACCACAAGAUGCAUCAACAAGUCCUAUAAAAAAGAAAAAGAAACCUGGUCUAUUGAACAGUAACAAUAAAGAGCAGUCAGAACUAAGACAUGGUCCGUUUUACUAUAUGAAGCAGCCACUCACCACAGACCCUGUUGAUGUUGUACCGCAGGAUGGACGGAAUGAUUUCUAUUGCUGGGUUUGUCAUCGGGAAGGCCAAGUCCUCUGCUGUGAGCUCUGCCCUCGGGUUUAUCAUGCUAAGUGUCUGAAACUGACGGCGGAACCAGAGGGGGAUUGGUUUUGCCCAGAAUGUGAGAAAAUCACAGUUGCAGAAUGCAUAGAAACACAGAGUAAAGCUAUGACAAUGCUCACCAUAGAACAGCUAUCAUACUUACUGAAGUUUGCACUACAGAAAAUGAAACAGCCAGGGACAGAGCCAUUUCAAAAGCCAGUUUCACUGGAUCAACACCCAGAUUAUGCAGAAUAUAUCUUUCAUCCAAUGGACCUUUGUACAUUAGAGAAGAAUGUUAAGAAGAAGAUGUACGGUUGCACUGAAGCAUUUUUGGCUGACGCCAAAUGGAUUUUGCACAACUGCAUUAUUUACAAUGGGGGAAAUCACAAAUUGACACAAACAGCAAAAGUCAUCAUCAAAAUCUGUGAGCAUGAGAUGAAUGAAAUUGAAGUAUGUCCGGAAUGUUAUUUAGCUGCUUGCCAAAAACGAGAGAAUUGGUUUUGUGAGCCUUGUAGCAAUCCCCACCCUUUGGUCUGGGCUAAACUCAAAGGCUUUCCAUUCUGGCCUGCUAAAGCGCUGCGGGAUAAAGACGGCCAAGUCGAUGCCCGUUUCUUUGGCCAACACGACAGGGCCUGGGUUCCAAUAAAUAAUUGCUACCUCAUGUCUAAAGAAAUUCCUUUUUCUGUGAAAAAGACUAAGAGCAUCUUCAAUAGUGCAAUGCAAGAGAUGGAGGUUUAUGUGGACAACAUCCGUAGAAAAUUUGGAGUGUUUAACUACGCCCCUUUCCGGACACCCUACACUCCCAACAACCAGUACCAGAUGUUGUUGGACCCUGCAAACCCAACCGCUGGAACUGCCAAGACAGACAAACAAGAGAAAAUCAAGCUCAACUUUGACAUGACAGCAUCACCCAAGAUUCUCAUGAGCAAGUCCAUGCUGAGCAGCGGUACCGGGCGUAGGAUUUCCUUAACAGACAUGCCGCGGUCGCCCAUGAGUACAAACUCCUCCGUUCACACAGGCUCUGACGUUGAGCAGGAUGCCGAGAAAAAAGCAACUUCCAGCCAUUUUAGUGCCAGUGAAGAAUCCAUGGACUUUAUUGAGAAAAACACAGCUUCUCCAGCACCAACACGAACAGGUCAAGCAGGGAGCUUGUCAGGCAGUCCCAAACCUUUCUCUCCUCAAGCAUCAACACCAAUUUCUGCUAAGCAAGAAAGGACCUCCACACCAGGAAGCAUUCUGAAUCUUAAUCUUGAUCGUAGCAAAGCUGAGAUGGAUCUGAAGGAGCUGAGUGAGUCAGUCCAGCAGCAAACCACUCCUGUGCAGCUCAUCUCCCCAAAGCGACAGAUCCGCAGUAGGUUCCAGCUGAACCUUGACAAGACAAUAGAGAGCUGUAAAGCACAGCUUGGAAUAAAUGAAAUAUCUGAAGCUGUUUAUACUGCAGUAGAACACAGUGACUCUGAAGAUUCUGAGAAGUCUGACACCAGUGACAGUGAAUAUAGUGAUGAGGAUCAGAAAUCAAAGAAUGAUCAAGAGGAUGGAGAGGACAAGGAAGGUGCCAGAAGUGACAAAGAAUCCUUGAGCUUGAAAAAAAAACCUAAACCCCCAGCACAGAAUGAAGACAAGGAGGAACUUAAAAGCACAAGUCCAGAAGUGGAGAAAACAGAUGAUGCAGUCAAGGAUAAGGCAAUCACAGACCCUGAGAAAGACUUCUGUGAAAAGGCAAAAGGUUUGCAGCAUCCAGCAAAAGAAAAACUGAAAGGGAAAGAUGAAACAGACUCUCCAACUGUGCAUCUAGGGCUGGACUCUGACUCUGAGAGUGAACUUGUCAUCGACCUGGGCGAUGAUCAUUGUGCCCGUGAAGGAAGGAAGAGCAAGAAAGAAUCUAAAGAGCCUCCUCCUAAACAAGACGUUGUAGGUAAAACUCCACCUUCCUCUAGUGCCAGCACCCAGCCUCUACCAGAAACUCCAGUCCUUACCCGCUCUGCAGCCCAGACUCCACCAGCUGGUGUGACAGCAACGACCAGUGCUGCUUCUACUGUUAGUGCUCCAGCUGCAGCCACUGGCAGCCCUGUGAAAAAGCAGAGGCCUCUGCUGCCCAAGGAAACUGCCCCUGCGGUGCAGCGGGUGGUGUGGAAUUCCUCCAAUAAGUUUCAGACAUCCUCCCAGAAAUGGCACAUGCAGAAGGUGCAGAGACAGCAGCAGCAGCAGCAGAGCCAGCAGGCUCAGUCACAGCAGCCUCAGUCCUCUCAAGGGACAAGAUACCAGACAAGACAAGCAGUUAAAGCUGUGCAGCAAAAAGAGAUCACCCAGAGCACUUCCACAUCCACUAUAACCUUGGUUACAAGUACUCAGCCCAUUUCUAUGGUUACCAGUUCUGGAUCUGCAAGUACCCUUUCUUCCUCACUUAACACAGACUUGCCCAUUGCAACAGCUUCAGCUGAUGUGGCUGCAGACAUUGCUAAAUACACUAGCAAAAUGAUGGAUGCCAUCAAAGGAACCAUGACUGAAAUAUAUAAUGAUCUCUCCAAAAAUACCACUGGAAGUACCAUAGCUGAGAUUCGGCGCCUGAGGAUCGAGAUCGAGAAGCUUCAGUGGUUACACCAACAGGAGCUCUCAGAGAUGAAGCACAACCUAGAACUGACAAUGGCUGAAAUGCGCCAGAGCCUGGAGCAGGAGCGAGAUCGUCUGAUUGCGGAGGUGAAGAAGCAGCUGGAGCUGGAAAAGCAGCAAGCAGUGGAUGAAACUAAAAAGAAGCAGUGGUGUGCUAACUGCAAGAAAGAGGCCAUCUUCUACUGCUGUUGGAACACCAGCUACUGUGACUAUCCCUGCCAACAAGCUCACUGGCCGGAGCACAUGAAGUCUUGCACACAGUCAGCUACGGCAACACAGCAAGAAGCAGACCCUGAGAUUAGCACAGAAACGUUAAACAAAUCGUCCCAGCCCAGCUCAAGCGUGCAGCCGACACCUACAGAGCCAGCCAGCACCCCGAAGGAGAAGGAAGGUUCAGCUGAGAAAAGCAAAGAGAGUGUUACAGACCCAUCAGUGUAGCUUCUGGUCUGGAUCUUUCGAUACAAGUUGCCUUCUGAUAAGCAAUACUGACUGCAGCACUUCCAAGCCCUUCUUGCCUGGGGGUUCAGAGGCCAAGCUCAAGACCUGCAUUCAGAUCAACUUCCUUAUCACAACAGACUGCCACUAGGGUACCACAGUGGUCCAUAACACAGCAAUUCACCUGGAUCUACAGCUAACGGAGCAGUGUGCAGUUGCCAGAUCCUCCAUAGCAGCUACUCUGAUAGUGUUCAGUAGGCAAGGAUGAGCAAAUGCUCCAGUACAAGGGACUUAACAUUGCAUAUAUAGAAAAUGUUUAUAGAGAAGAUUCUGCUUUCUAGAUAGCAACAGGUGUGACAAGCAGCCAGCCUAUAAAACUGGUCCAGGUACCGCAGACCACCACCUAUAUUCCAACUACUCAACCCACAAUUGCACUGGAAUGAGCAGGCUUCUGGAAGGCACAGACUUUGUCCCAAAGGAGCUGAUCAACACUCUAGGCUGUGCUCCAUCUCAGGAGGGAUACUCCAGUCAAAUACCAUUAAGACACUGAUGUGGUUUCUUAACAGUGUGGGGAAACUUUGGGCUUCGGUGAACUUGUGUUUCUGCUUCCAUGUUCUCUUGGAGUGUCACACUACCAUCAGGGGGAAGAUCUGAGCAUCCUUUUCAGACUCCUCAAAAACCUCACUUCCUGUUCCUUCCACAACACGUUGUGAACUUGUUUGCUCACCAGUUGUGCACCCCUGAAGCUGGAUCACAGCGCGCUGCUUCCAUGGGCUGCCCGUUUCUAGACUCUCUUACGUGUGGGAGGAAGGUUAAGAUACAGACUUGAGGUUCAAUAAAUCCUUUUCCAGAUCUUCCAGAGUGAUGUGACCUUGACCAGAUUGUUUGACAGUCUUGUGCCUUUGUCCCCACGUCUGUAGUCACCACCCCUAGAGAUGUCCUGACACUUCCUGUGUCGAGAUUAGAGCUCGUGAGCUGUGUGAUGGACAGGAACAUUUCUUCUCUAUGAAUGUUUUCACAGGGGGGGUGAGACAGCUCCCAGCAAGCCUGAUGGUUUUGUUACUGCUCUGUGCAGCCCUUGGCUUCAGGACUUUCCUGCUGAAGUGGAUGUUCUUUGUUCUCUCCUCUGAUUGAAUGCAUGGGGGGAGCUCCUCUUGGGGAGCUAGAUUUAAGUGAUGUCUAACAAGAGUGUCUCCAAACGAGGGUGUUUUUGUACUCAGUUUGAUUUGUUAGAACUUUUGCAAAUGACAAAGGAUUUUCUUAGCCCUUUUUUCUCUACCCAUGUGUUCAUUUGGGGAAAGCACAGAACUGGAUGUAAUCAUGAAAUCCUCCCUCUCCAAGCACAGACAGUGUGUGCAGCACCUGUAGGACCACCUCUCCCUGUAAUUGCCUAGCAGCAGUCCUAACACAGGAAAACCCUUGGCUCUAGGGGAGUAAAACUCUUGCUUUGUACCCUG